AUUUUGUAGGUGUUUUGACUAUGCUAGGUCUUUUGCAUUUUCAUAUUCAUUUAGAAUCAGCUCAUUACCUUCUACCUAAGAUGCUGACUGAUAUUUUGAGUUGGGUUGCAUUGAAUCUAUAGAUCAAGUUGGGGAAAACUGACAUCUCAAAAAUAAUGAGUCUUCUGACCAUGAACAGGGAAUUUGUCUUCAUUUUUUUAGGUCUUCAUUCAUUUCUUUCACCAAUAUCUUGUACUUUCAUCUGUUUGAUGCUAUUAUUUUUCACACUUUAUUUAUGCAUUGAAAUUAUAUAGACAUAAAAUAGAUUUAUGUACAUUGAUCUUGUACCCUGCUGGAAACAAAUGCUUCAGAGUCAACCUGUAUCUAGCAAUGACCAUAGCUUUGGGGACUUGUGUAUUUGCCAGGUGUGUGUGCUGAUGUGCAGAUUCCUCACUCCCCUUAGAAAAGUCACUGUUGGUCCAAGA